UACGUAGGUGGCAAGCGUUGUCCGGAUUUACUGGGCGUAAAGAGCGCGCAGGCGGUCGUUCAAGUCGCGUGUGAAAGCCCCCGGCUCAACUGGGGAGGGUCACGCGAUACUGAUCGACUCGAAGGCAGGAGAGGGUAGUGGAAUUCCCGGUGUAGUGGUGAAAUGCGUAGAUAUCGGGAGGAACACCAGUGGCGAAGGCGACUACCUGGCCUGUUUCUUGACGCUCAUGCACGAAAGCGUGGGGAGCAAACAGG
rnacentral:rRNA from 1 species